GAUGAACGCUGGCGGCGUGCCUAAUACAUGCAAGUCGAGCGAACGGACGAGAAGCUUGCUUCUCUGAUGUUAGCGGCGGACGGGUGAGUAACACGUGGAUAACCUACCUAUAAGACUGGGAUAACUUCGGGAAACCGGAGCUAAUACCGGAUAAUAUUUUGAACCGCAUGGUUCAAAAGUGAAAGACGGUCUUGCUGUCACUUAUAGAUGGAUCCGCGCUGCAUUAGCUAGUUGGUAAGGUAACGGCUUACCAAGGCAACGAUGCAUAGCCGACCUGAGAGGGGGAUCGGCCACACUGGAACUGAGACACGGUCCAGACUCCUACGGGAGGCAGCAGUAGGGAAUCGUCCGCAAUGGGCGAAAGCCUGACGGAGCAACGCCGCGUGAGUGAUGAAGGUCUUCGGAUCGUAAAACUCUGUUAUUAGGGAAGAACAGAUGUGUAAGUAACUGUGCACAUCUUGACGGUACCUAAUCAGAAAGCCACGGCUAACUACGU
rnacentral:rRNA from 1 species